AAUAAAAUGUGUGUUGCAACAUGAGCCACUUAAGCAAUAACUCAUAAAACUGCUGGUUGUAUUCUAGCAUGGAAGGAAAAAGGGCUCAUUAGUCUUUUCCCAACUUAAGGAUCCAUGGACAGAUUCCAAAACAUUAAUCCUUGGGAAGGGCCAGCAAAUGUUAGAUUGACUCCCAAGUUACAGUGAGAAGUUGAAGCACACUGUGAGUUUUAAGCAGCGAACUCAGCCUCAGUCCAGUCAAAUGACCUUGAAGAGAAGAGCUGCGAAAUAAUGUAACAUUUCUGAAGUUUCAGAUUGUCCCCUGGUUUCUGAGCAUCAGACAGGAAAGCUUUGUUCAAAGAUAGAUCCUCACAGGUUUACAAACAGACUGUAAUGAACAGUCACGGCCACGCUUAUUGAAGCAUUAAUUGAAAAGCUUUUCUUCAGACUAUAUCAAGGGCCCUGUACUCCUAACAUCUGCAUAUUUUUAGCCCUAUGAGAUAUCCUCAGAGUGCUCUCACCAGAAGAUAGCAAUUACUGCUCCCAAUAGAGCCUUCAUCCAGUAGCUGAGGGAAGCAGAAGCAGACACCCACAGCUAAACACUGAGCUGAACUCUGGAAUCCAGUUGCAGAGGAGGAAUGAUGAGCAAAGGUCAAGACCAGGCUGAAGAAACCCACAGAAACAACUGACCUGAACAAGGGGUUGCUCAUGGACCCCCAGACUGAUAGCCGAGAAUCUAACAUAGGACUAUUCCAGACCCCCUGAAGGAGGAAGUCAGUUUGGAGGUCUGGACAAUCUAUGGGGCCUCUGGUAUUAGAUCAGUAUUUACCCUUAGUACACAAAUGAACUUUGGGAGCCCUCUCCACAUAAAGGGAUAUUCUCUCAGCCUAGACACACUGGAGAGGGACUAGACCCUGCUCAAAAUGUUAUGACAGACUUUGAAGAUCCCCAUGGAAAGCCUCACCCUUCCUGGGGAGCAGAAAGUACUAGGGAU
rnacentral:lncRNA from 1 species